UCCGGUAUUAUAGUCUGGUGGCAAGGAUACCUGGCCCUCGCCCGGGAGGCUCGGGUUCAAUUCCCGGUACCGAAA